UUUAAGGCACAGGGCUGGGGAUGAGGAAAUGCAGCUCCCUCCCGCCCCCCCCGGCUCUGUCAUGUUUCUCUAGGGGCAAGUCACUUAGCCUCUCUACAGUAAAAUUGGCUUCAUAAGUACCAGCCAAGCAUACUUUAAUCUGACUGCUGCAUAUAAGGCACUUUGGGAUUCUCAGAUGGAAGGUCUUACUGGAUGCAAAACACAUUACACCAUUUUUAAAUCACUCGCUUAGGUUUUACAGGCAGUAUCAAAGAACGGACAAAACAGAUGGUGCUGAGUAAACAGGUGUGUUCCCUGCAGAAGAUAGUACGGACGCGAUGGAUUCCAUGUGGUGUCUGGUGUAAAUGAGGACGAGGUUUGGACACUGAUCUGGAGUACCUGGUUUCCAGCCACCAGAAGCUGGGAACCAGGAACCUUCAGGCUCGACACCCAGGCGGUUAGGUCCGGUGGCCUUAGGAGGUAGCAGGCAUGCAGAGCUGGCCUGUGGGUGGAUCUGGUUGAUGGGCGGAGAUCUGAAAGUCCUCCAGCUUCUCCUCCAUGCCAUACUCCCACGUCCCUUCCAGAGCUGCUCUCCUCGCAUCGCAGGUACGCUGGGCAAGGGGGACGAAAUCUCUUUCGGGCUCUCAUUUGGAGCUUUUAAAACAUUUGGGCCAAAUGGGGAAACAAAAAUCAAGCCCUGUCUGCCCCAAAGGGAAGGCUAAAUGGUAAGCACACGCAGGGGGCAUGUUCCCCUGGAGGAAAGGUGAAAUCCCAAACCUGUUCCAGUGGCCAGAGGCACUGAGAUGUUGGCUGCCUGUGAUUCUGGUGCCAACCACAAGAGGGAGCCCUUGCACCAUUUAGCUUUGCAACACUGGCUCAUUCAUUCUCUGGGGGGAAACUCCAAACAAUCCCAGGGCUGGAAGAGACCUCAGGGUCAUGGAGUCCAGCCCCCUCCCC